CCUACGGGAGACAGCAGUGAGGAAUAUUGGUCAAUGGACGCAAGUCUGAACCAGCCAUGCCGCGUGCAGGAAGACGGCUCUAUGAGUUGUAAACUGCUUUUGUACGAGGGUAAACGCAGAUACGCGUAUCUGUCUGAAAGUAUCGUACGAAUAAGGAUCGGCUAACUCCGUGCCAGCAGCCGCGGUAAUACGGAGGAUUCAAGCGUUAUCCGGAUUUAUUGGGGUUAAAGGGUGCGUAGGCGGUAGGAUAAGUUAGAGGUGAAAUCCCGAGGCUCAACUUCGGAAUUGCCUCUGAUACUGUUCGGCUAGAGAGUAGGUGCGGUAGGCGGAAUGUAUGGUGUAGCGGUGAAAUGCGUAGAGAUCAUACAGAACACCGAUUGCGAAGGCAGCUUAC
rnacentral:rRNA from 1 species